CCUACGGGAGGCAGCAGUGAGGAAUAUUGGUCAAUGGUCGUAAGCCUGAACCAGCCAAGUAGCGUGCAGGAUGACGGCCCUACGGGUUGUAAACUGCUUUUAUACGGGGAUAAAAUGCCUUACGUGUACUGCUUUGCAGGUACCGCAUGAAUAAGGACCGGCUAAUUCCGUGCCAGCAGCCGCGGUAAUACGGAAGGUCCGGGCGUUAUCCGGAUUUAUUGGGUUUAAAGGGAGCGUAGGCCGCAUGUCAAGCGUGCCGUGAAAUGCCGGGGCUCAACCAUGGCAGUGCGGCGCGAACUGGCGUGCUUGAGUGCGCGGAGGGCAGGCGGAAUUCGUGGUGUAGCGGUGAAAUGCGUAGAUAUGACGAAGAACUCCGAUGGCGAAGGCAGCUUGCUGCAGCGCUACUGACGCUGAGGCUCGAAAGCGCGGGUAUCGAACAGGAUUAGAUACCCGGGUAGUC
rnacentral:rRNA from 1 species